GGACAGAUGACCGAGUGGUUGAUGGUGUUGGUCUUGAAAACCAAAAAGAUUUAUUCUUCGUGGGUUCGAAUCCCACUCUGUCCU
rnacentral:tRNA from 1 species